rnacentral:rRNA from 1 species
GACGAACGCUGGCGGCGUGCUUAACACAUGCAAGUCGAGCGGAGCGGCGAACGGGUGAGUAACGCGUUAGUAGCUGACCCCCUGCCUGGGAAAACAGGUGGAAACGGCUGCUAAUACCGGAUAGUGGGGGAUGACUCGGGUCCUAUCAGCUUGUUGGUGGGGUAGCGGCCUACCAAGGGGACGACGGGUAGCCGGCCUGAGAGGGCGACCGGCCACAUUGGGCUGAGAUACGGCCCAAACUCCGACGGGCGGCAGCGGUGGGGAAUAUUGCACAAUGGGGGAAACCCUGAUGCAGAAACGCCGCGUUCGGGAUGACGGCCUUCGGGUUGUAAACCGCUUUCAGCCAUGACGCGGUAGUGGCAGAAGAAGCACCGGCUAACUACGUGCCAGCCGCCGCGGUAAUUC